GAACAGUUUUUCCAUUACAAGAUCUUUUGACUAACAAAGUCUUCUCCUCAAACUUCAUUGUAUCCUAGAAGCAGACUGGGAUUGAUGGAUUGCUUCUGCCAAAAAAGAGCACCAGAAUUCCUCACUGGCUAAAGGCUAACAGCCCAGGAUUAGAAUUCUUAAGCUUGCUCCAUCAGAUCAUCUCUUCUGGGCUGUCAAGAGGAUUAUAAUGAGG